AACAAACGCUGGCGGCGUGCCUAAUACAUGCAAGUCGAACGGGGAAAGCUUUCGGGUGAGUACUAGUGGCGCACGGGUGAGGAACGCGUGGAUAAUCUGCCUUAGAGUGGGGGAUAACUAGUCGAAAGAUUAGCUAAUACCGCAUAAGACCACAGGAGCUGCGGCUCAAGGGGUCAAAGGUUUUUCGCUCUAAGAUGAGUCCGCGUAAGAUUAGCUAGUUGGUGAGGUAACGGCUCACCAAGGCGACGAUCUUUAACUGGUCUGAGAGGAUGAUCAGUCACACUGGAACUGAGACACGGUCCAGACUCCUACGGGAGGCAGCAGUAGGGAAUAUUGCACAAUGGAGGAAACUCUGAUGCAGCGACGCCGCGUGAGUGAUGAAGGCCUUCGGGUCGUAAAGCUCUGUCGCAGGGGAAUAACACAAUGAAUGUACCCUGCAAGAAAGGAUCGGCUAACUUCGUGCCAGCCGCCGCCGUAAAAC
rnacentral:rRNA from 1 species